UACGAACGCUGGCGGCGUGCUUAACACAUGCAAGUGGAGCGACGAACCAGGGCUUGCCCUGGGGCAGAGCCGCGAACGGGUGAGUAACACGUGGGUAACCUGCCUCGAUGAUCGGGACAACCCGGGGAAACCCGGGCUAAUGCCGAAUGUGCUCCGACCACAUCAGUGGACGGCGUAAAGGAAGCUUCGGCCUCCGCAUCGAGAUGGGCCCGCGGCCCAUUAGCUUGUUGGUGGGGUAAAGGCCCACCAAGGCUUCGAUGGGAAGCUGGUCUGAGAGGACGAUCAGCCACACUGGGACUGAGACGCGGCCCAGACUCCUACGGGAGGCAGCAGUGGGGAAUCUUGCGCAAUGCGCGAAAGCGUGACGCAGCAACGCCGCGUGGGGGAAGACGGCCUUAGGGUUGUAAACCCCUUUCAGGAGGGACGAAGGUCGGCGCGUUAAUAGCGUGUCCGACUGACGGUACCUCCACAAGAAGCCCCGGCUAACUACGUGCCAGCCGCCGCCGUAA
rnacentral:rRNA from 1 species